CGCAAACCACUGACUCAGUACAUAGCACUACGACUAUGUAGGCAUAGCUCUAGCAUGAACAAACAAGAUGCCUAGCGCAUCACACAAAACAAACAAUGCGCUGAUGGUACAUAGCUAGUCCACACACCCCGCAUUCUCCUCAUACAGAUAUACGAUAAUAUAAUAUGUAUCGCUAGUCCAGACAUCUCUGGAGCCCCGC
rnacentral:lncRNA from 1 species